rnacentral:rRNA from 1 species
GUCUAUGGCCAUGUCACCCUGAACAAGCCUGAUGUCUAAUCUCAGAAGCUAAGCAGGGUUGGGUCUGGUUAGUACUUGGAUGGGAGACCGUCUAGGAAGACCAGGUCCUGUAGGCA